UGAAGCUCUGGUACACUCUGAUACUCUCUGCUUGUUCUCAUGAACCCAAAUCAAAUCAGAUGAUUCCAAACUUUUCAAUUUAAUCAGACUCUCAGAAUUCUUCGACAUCGUAGAAGAAACGACUAUUUUCCAGUUCUCCUCCUAAAGAUCUGUUCCUUCCCAGGUAAGAGAAAAGCACAAGGAAAGUGAAAGAGAAAGAAAUUACAAUUAGCUUCUCAUUUGAUUUGAUUUGAUUUCUUUUCUUUCUUGAAUUCUGGAAUCCAUUGCAUCAUAUUACUCAUUUCCUAAUCCUUCAACCUGAAAGGGAACCCAAAAAGAAAACACAAAAGGGCAACUAACUGAGCAAAACAUAGAAAUCUUGUUGUUUAAAGCAGCAGAAGAACCGAAACAUGAAACAGCUCCACAAGCAAUCAAGCGUGAACCACAGACAAGAUGAAGAGAUCC